rnacentral:tRNA from 1 species
UGCAAUGUAUUUUAUUUAAAAUAUUUAUUUUACACGUAAAAGAACCUUAAUAGGCUUUGUAA